rnacentral:rRNA from 1 species
AUCAAAACAUGUCUUUACGGUGUUUAUGUAAAGUCUAGCCUGCCCAGUGACGUUAAGUUUAAAGGCCGCGGUAUACUGACCGUGCGAAGGUAGCAUAAUGAUUUGUUCUUUAAUUGAGGACUUGUAUGAAUGGUUGAACAAGAAACUAUCUGUCUCUCACUUAUUCCUUGAAUUUUACAUUUAAGUGAAAAGGCUUAAAUAAACUAGGGGGACGAUAAGACCCUAUAAAUCUUUAUAUUUGCUCAGCCAAAAAAUGUGUAUUAGGACCAAAAAUAUAUUUUUUGGUGGGGUGAUAUUUUGUUGGGGCGACAGGAGUAUAACAAGUAACUGCUUUAAAAGUUUAAUUAAAUAUAUUUAGUUUGAGUGUUAAAAGAUCCUUUAGUAAGGAUUAUUAAAAUAAGUUACUUUAGGGAUAACAGCGUAAUCUCUUUUGAGAGUUCAUAUCGAAAAAGAGGAUUGCGACCUCGAUGUUGAAUUAAGGAUCCUUUGUGGUGCAGCCGUUACAAAAGGAGGUCUGUUCGACCUUUAAAUCUUUACGUGAUCUGAUU